ACCCUCCAGUUCCCUUUCCUCUCAGAUCUGAAUGUUCGUCUUGGUGGCCAUAAAGGAGGAAACAACACUGACGCUGGCCUCACAGCCUGCUACUCUGGCAUGUGGGCUAGUUUCAAAUUGGA
ensembl:snoRNA